AAUAGAGGAGCGCAAUUCAUCAGUACCGCGUCCGAGGCCGCAAGCCGGGGACGGCGCGGGAAAGGGGAACGCGCCGAAGGGUCCGGGCCUUGCAAACCCUUCCCUGGUCGUAUGACGAACAGUCCUGCGAUUGUCAUCGUGCUUCAUGAUGGAGAGCUAUUC
rnacentral:ncRNA from 1 species